GACGAACGCUGGCGGCGUGCUUAACACAUGCAAGUCGAACGGAAAGACCCUGCUUUUGUGGGGUGCUCGAGUGGCGAACGGGUGAGUAACACGUGAGUAACCUGCCCUUGACUUUGGGAUAACUUCAGGAAACUGGGGCUAAUACCGGAUAGGAGCUCCUGCUGCAUGGUGGGGGUUGGAAAGUUUCGGCGGUUGGGGAUGGACUCGCGGCUUAUCAGCUUGUUGGUGGGGUAGUGGCUUACCAAGGCUUUGACGGGUAGCCGGCCUGAGAGGGUGACCGGCCACAUUGGGACUGAGAUACGGCCCAGACUCCUACGGGAGGCAGCAGUGGGGAAUAUUGCACAAUGGGCGGAAGCCUGAUGCAGCAACGCCGUGUGCGGGAUGACGGCCUUCGGGUUGUAAACCGCUUUCGCCUGUGACGAAGCGUGAGUGACGGUAAUGGGUAAAGAAGCACCGGCUAACUACGUG
rnacentral:rRNA from 1 species